CCUACGGGUGGCUGCAGUGGGGAAUAUUGGACAAUGGGGGCAACCCUGAUCCAGCCAUGCCGCGUGUGUGAAGAAGGCCCUCGGGUUGUAAAGCACUUUCAGUGAGGAAGAACGCCUGGUGGUUAAUACCCAUCAGGAAAGACAUCACUCACAGAAGAAGCACUGGCUAACUCCGUGCCAGCAGCCGCGGUAAUACGGAGGGUGCGAGCGUUAAUCGGAAUUACUGGGCGUAAAGCGCGCGUAGGUGGCUUGAUAAGCCGGUUGUGAAAGCCCCGGGCUCAACCUGGGAACGGCAUCCGGAACUGUCAAGCUAGAGUGCAGGAGAGGAAGGUAGAAUUCCCGGUGUAGCGGUGAAAUGCGUAGAGAUCGGGAGGAAUACCAGUGGCGAAGGCGGCCUUCUGGACUGACACUGACACUGAGGUGCGAAAGCGUGGGUAGCAAACAGGAUUAGAUACCCUGGUAGUC
rnacentral:rRNA from 1 species